UCUUAUGGAGGAACAAAGAAAACGGUUUCUUGAAAUGGAAUCUGCUCCUGGUGAAGAUGCUGUGAA
rnacentral:pre_miRNA from 1 species